rnacentral:rRNA from 1 species
AUGGGGUUGCUAGCUCUGAAGCUGCUCAUGUCCAGGCAGCGGGAUAGCAAGCAUCUCGGCGGCCAGAUUCAAGCCCGCAAUAGAUCGGUACCUUUAGCGGCUAAAAGAAAGAUCUCUUCAUGCCAACACAGUAACCUUCAAGGUUGCAAGAGAAUGGCAUUUUCAGGGCCAGACCUUCCAGAGGACAUCUGGCGCCAUAUACAUUCCCUACUGCCGUUGCGAGAUGCUGCCCGUGUUGCCUGCGUAUCUCAUGCAUUUUUACGUUCUUGGAAGUGCCAUCCUAACCUCACCUUCAGUAGGAAAGCGCUGGGCCUGAAUGGAAUUCCACAUCAAAACGUUGUAAUUGCAAGGGAUCUCACUAUGGAAGUUGAUCACAUUCUGAAAAAACACUCAGGCAAAGGAGUUAAGAAAUUCAGGAUCGAAUUAUACAUUACAGUUGAUCCCUGUUAUCUUAAUAGCAGGCUUCAGAUUGCCGCUAAACUACGGAUUGAAGAACUCGCCGUUGUUCUACCUUCAACCUGCAAUGCAAACUACUACGAUUUCCCGUGUGCACUUUUUGUUGAUGAUGGGUGUAGAAACACGAUAGAGCAUCUCUGCCUUGGUGGUUGUGCCUUCCAUCCGACGGCUGGAUUUGGUAACUUGAGAAGGCUGCAGCCCGUUUUGGGUUCGUAA